UUGGUUUUAUAUAAACCUAUAUUUCUUGUGCAUUUUUUUAAAUUGACUUUAACAAAAUGAAACACUGAGAACAGGCACAAGCAGAUGUGUCCUUGCAGAUCUGAAAGCUAUUUAAACUAAUCUGACUGACUUUGCACUGUUAACAAGGCUCAGCUGUGAGUAUCAAGUAAACAAAAAGCAGUAACAUCUUGAAUCAUUAUCCAGUGUGAAAGUGUUUGUACUGUGGUGAACCAAGCAUCUAUCAUGUGAACUCUUUACAUUCACCCUCUUCUUCAUCCUGUUAAAAA
rnacentral:lncRNA from 1 species